CAUGAUGGUCUAUUAUAUGCCAAAACAUUUAUGGUUAUGUCUUUUACUCAAAGUCUUAAAGGGUUUGUUGGGCUUGCAAAUAGUGAAUUAUUAGAUAUUUGUUUUUCUCAAGCAUUUUUAUACAAUGACAUUGCGUCCUUCGAUAGACUUAUAUUAUCAAAUAUUUUUGGAACAGUACUAUCUUUUGUCUUCAAAUCCUUUUUAAUAUUUUUUUACCCAUUAAUGGUUCCAUUUCGUGGUGUAUUUGCUUUUAUGCUAUCAUCAAUAUGUAUAACGCAAAUGAGUAAAAUUUUGUUUUUACUCUAUAAAAAUUUGAGAAAGUUGUAUAGAAUAUCACGUAGGAAAAUUUACACUUCUAUUUUGAAAGUGCGAUUACGAAAUCACCCCGAGUUUCAACCAUAUGCCAUGAAUCUAUUACAAGGUGAUGCGCUAAUUUUAGUUUCAAAAAUGUGGAAGCUGUCCUAUGUAAAUAUCGAUUCACAUUUACAAGGAAAUAACCUAUAUCCAAUUUUAAACAAUUUAUUCGAAAAUAAUUUUGGAUCAGGGUUUUUUAAUUUCAGCAAUGCGUUAUUUAGUUAUAUUUUAGAGAAUUUAAGGAAAUUUAAAUUGAUAACUGAGAAAGGAAUGAAUUUAGAAACAGCAGAUAAGUUUAAUAGUAAAAUAUUUGAAAAAGUUUUAUUUAUGCUUGAGGUAACUAAGAAUGCGUUACUUUAUGAAGAAACAUAUGCAAGUAUUGCUACUGCCAGUAUAUUGGUUAAAUUGUACACUGCUAUAGUAGUAAAUAUAAAUUAUCUUGGAAAAAUUGUACCUAAAGAACAUUUUGGUACAGAUAUAGACUCAGAAUUUAGACACAUAUAUGGAGAACAACUACAUGAAACAUUCUUACAAAGAACUAUUAAUACAUUAACACGAAAAUCUUAUAUAAAACAAAAUUUAAAUAAAAUUAAUAGAGGUUCAAUUCAAUUUACAAUGGCAUUAGUUAAGAUCAAAUUAUUACAUUAUAAACCAGAUGCAAAACAUCCUUAUUUUAGUUUUUAUUUUGAUGACGCAUUAAAAAGCCAAUUAAACAAAGCAAUGCGAUCAAUUCUGGUGGGUACUAAUGGUAUUAUAUCAAGUUUUGUUGUUUUUGGAGAAAGAUAUAAAAUGCUUAGAAAAUGUCCUUUAGAAAAUCUUAAAAAUAUGAGACACUUAUGCGAUAUUGAAGGUUAUAAAAUAAAACGGUUAUUAUUAGGAUUUAAAAUUUUUAUUAGUUUAUUAUUACCUUUAUAUAUGAGUGAUACAGAUGUAUUAAUUAACAAUCAAGUGGUAGGUCACAUGCUACAUUUUUUUGAGGUAAUGAUUGAAGAUAAAUCUUUAUAUACAUAUACAUAUUUAAAAGAAAUUAUUGAUUUGACAUAUAAAUAUGAAAGAAAAGAUACAGUAUUAGACACAAAUAAUAUCAAUUAUGAUGAAGAAAUAAAAAAUUUGUUACAUAGAGAAAUUAAUAAAGUAUUAAAUGAUGUUAACAAAGAAAAAAGAAGUAACUUAAAAUUUCACUCAUAUGAACUAAAAAACGAAGAAGUAAGUUUAUAUAACGUACAAGGGGAACAUUAUAAAUUUGUUUUUAAUCAAAAAAAUAUGGUACAAAAAUUUGCAAAUGUAAUACAUAGUAAUGACUAUGGAAGUUCAAUAAUGCAACAUUUAUCAUUCAUUAGGUUUGAACCUGUACAAGGUAAUGGUGGCAAUUUAAUUGUAGACGCAAAUCAUUAUUCAUUUACAGGAAACUUAACACAGUCACAUAUAUAUACAGCAGAUAAUAAAGAUCUGUUAAUAACUGAUCUAAUUUUUUACACAUUGUGGGCUUCUGGAAUUGACAAAUUUAGUGCCAUGAUAGUAAGUGUUGCAUACAUGCGUUGAUACAAAUACAUAUAUAUAUAUAUAUAUAUAUAUAGUUACAUAUUUGCCAAACUAUUCGUUAAUACAUAGUUUCACACCAUAUUAUUUACACCAUGUUGUUCACAUUAUUUUAUAUUAUUACUAUUGUUUACCCUAUUGCUAUUCUGUUUAAAUUUUAUUCUGAUGUUACUUUAAGAGUGCACGCUGUUUGCUACAAUAUGUUUUUGCACAAACUAUAUAUACAUUUUUUAUAUAUUUACUUUAUUUACUUUAUUUUUUAUUUUUUUUUAUUUUUUUUUCCUCUAGUUUUCGUCAUUAUUUGGAGCUGUUAAACAAUUGUUUCACAAUGGACUAUCUUGGAAAAGAGCUAUUAUGUUAAUGCAGCCAACCGAAUUUUAUUCAGUGGUUGAUAUGUUUGUUAACAAAAGUAUGAUAGAAGCAGAUAAGAGUUUAAAUUUUUUUAUAAAGAGAGUUAAAAAAUAUAGAUUUCAUUUUAACAAAACAACUUUUGUUAGUAUGUUUAGAUUAUUUUUAGAAAAUGUACUUGUCAGGAUUAAUUUUUAUGAUCCAGAAGAAGCGA
rnacentral:lncRNA from 1 species